rnacentral:rRNA from 1 species
CAGCAGCCACGGUAAUACAGAGGGUGCGAGCGUUAAUCGGAUUUACUGGGCGUAAAGCGUGCGUAGGCGGCUUUUUAAGUCGGAUGUGAAAUCCCUGAGCUUAACUUAGGAAUUGCAUUCGAUACUGGGAAGCUAGAGUAUGGGAGAGGAUGGUAGAAUUCCAGGUGUAGCAGUGAAAUGCGUAGAGAUCGGAAGGAACAUCUGUGGCGAAGGCGACUAUCUGGGCCAACACUGACACUGAGGCACGAAAGCGUGGGGAGCAAACAGGAUUAGAUACCCCUGUAGUCCCUGUCUCUUAUAC